AAAAGUAGUUCCGGCUAACGGGAAGGCUAUAUAAAGCCGGCGCCGCGGAGGCGCUGCCUUUUCAGUUGAGGAGAGCGGUGGUUAUCGGAACAUGUCAGGCGGCUCCGCGGAUUAUGGCAGAGACCAUGGCCCAGAGGGAAUGGACCCCGAUGGCGUCAUUGAGAGCAACUGGAAUGAAAUUGUUGACAAUUUUGAUGAUAUGAACUUAAAAGAAUCCCUCCUCAGGGGCAUUUAUGCAUAUGGUUUUGAGAAACCUUCAGCUAUUCAGCAGCGUGCUAUUAUUCCAUGCAUCAAAGGGUAUGAUGUGAUUGCUCAAGCUCAGUCAGGUACUGGCAAGACAGCCACAUUUGCUAUUUCCAUCCUGCAACAGUUGGAGAUUGAUCUCAAGGAGACCCAAGCACUAGUAUUGGCCCCAACCAGAGAACUGGCUCAACAGAUCCAAAAAGUUAUUCUGGCUCUUGGCGAUUAUAUGGGUGCAACUUGUCAUGCCUGCAUUGGUGGCACAAAUGUUCGCAAUGAGAUGCAGAAGCUGCAAGCAGAAGCUCCCCAUAUUGUGGUGGGAACUCCAGGACGUGUGUUUGACAUGUUAAACAGGCGUUAUCUGUCGCCUAAAUGGAUCAAAAUGUUUGUAUUGGAUGAAGCGGAUGAAAUGUUGAGCCGGGGAUUUAAGGAUCAAAUCUAUGAAAUUUUUCAGAAAUUGAGCACAAACAUUCAGGUUGUGUUGCUGUCUGCCACUAUGCCAAUGGAUGUGCUGGAAGUGACCAAAAAGUUUAUGAGAGAUCCUAUUCGUAUUCUUGUGAAGAAAGAGGAAUUGACCCUUGAGGGUAUUAAACAAUUCUACAUUAAUGUGGAGAGAGAGGAAUGGAAGCUUGAUACUCUCUGUGAUUUGUAUGAAACCCUGACCAUUACGCAGGCUGUUAUUUUCCUUAACACAAGGAGGAAAGUAGAUUGGCUCACAGAGAAAAUGCAUGCACGAGACUUCACUGUUUCUGCUCUGCAUGGUGACAUGGACCAGAAGGAGCGAGAUGUUAUCAUGAGAGAAUUUAGGUCAGGUUCAAGCCGUGUCUUGAUCACUACUGAUUUAUUGGCUCGUGGCAUUGACGUGCAGCAAGUAUCGUUGGUUAUAAAUUACGAUCUGCCGACCAAUCGUGAGAACUACAUUCACAGGUUAGUUGAAUUUCCACCGAGUUUCCAUUCCGAAGCUUCUUCAGAAUCUGCACACCCUGAACAUUUGUCUUGCUUUCUUGCAUCAUAUACCACUGUGUGUGUGUGUGUACGUACGUACACAUAGUGUUGUGAAGAUGGGAGGGGCAGAGCUUCUUUGUUAGCCAAUGAAACAAAACAGUGGGAAAACUUGUUUGUAUUAGAACUUCAGCAAUUAAUUAUUGGCUUUCAGGAUAGAGCUGCUGAAUUAAUGUUCUGUGGCAUGUGUUGUUGAGUGCAAAAGUUCUAUGAAGAACUACUACUGUUGUAUUGUGAUUAGGAAAGCAGAUGUUUAUGUUGUUUCCAAAGUUGCUAUUAGUUUUCCUUCCUAGAAGUAAAUAUUUUGCCUCUUUCAGCUUGUUCUAUUGCUUUAUUGGAAGUUUCUUUGUGCCAAUACCUUCACUGCUGCUCUUUGGUUCUUCUUACAGUGGGAUUCUUUCUCUGGUGUCUUCUAAUAGCUUUCAGUUUAUCUCCCUAAACUUAGCUAUUUAUCAUAGUGGCUUUCUCCUCUAAACAAAGUAAAUUGUACCUUGUUACUUGAUGUAAAAAAAUACAGGAGUCGCUAGCCCAGUUGAUGACGGGAUGGUGCUCAGAAGCGACGUUGGCGUAAUUUAGGACGUGGAUUCGUAAGCGGCACACUGUUUCAAUAAAGAGCGAGUUGGAUUGGCCGCGGUGGUCGUUUUGGCAGGAAAGGUGUGGCUAUAAACUUUGUCACUGAGGAGGACAAGCGGAUCCUUCGGGAUAUUGAGACUUUCUACAAUACUACAGUGGAGGAAAUGCCAAUGAAUGUGGCUGACCUCA